GAUCAAGGACUGGAGAGCAGCUGAGGGAGCUGAGGGGGCUCAGCCUGAAGAAAACGAGGUCAGGGAGGACCUUCUCACACUCUGCAAC